rnacentral:rRNA from 1 species
AUGAACGCUGGCGGCGUGCCUAAUACCUGCAAGUCGAGCGAACGGACGAGAAGCUUGCUUCUCUGAUGUUAGCGGCGGACGGGUGAGUAACACGUGGAUAACCUACCUAUAAGACUGGGAUAACUUCGGGAAACCGUAGCUAAUACCGGAUAAUAUUUUGAACCGCAUGGUUCAAAAGUGAAAGACGGUCUUGCUGUCACUUAUAGAUGGAUCCGCGCUGCAUUAGCUAGUUGGUAAGGUAACGGCUUACCAAGGCAACGAUGCAUAGCCGACCUGAGAGGGUGAUCGGCCACACUGGAACUGAGACACGGUCCAGACUCCUACGGGAGGCAGCAGUAGGGAAUCUUCCGCAAUGGGCGAAAGCCUGACGGAGCAACGCCGCGUGAGUGAUGAAGGUCUUCGGAUCGUAAAACUCUGUUAUUAGGGAAGAACAUAUGUGUAAGUAACUGUGCACAUCUUGACGGUACCUAAUCAGAAAGCCACGGCUAACUACGUG